rfam:Caldibacillus debilis strain B4135 NODE_200, whole genome shotgun sequence.
CAUACCUUUAAAACAGUCCCGCGAGGCUGGCAAGGUAAAUGAUAGAGGAAAAACGGGAAAGGGCAUGAUGCGCCCCUUUUCCCUGAAAACGAAAGGAGCGCCUUGCCGUCAGAACGGCAGGGCGCUUUUUUGA